rnacentral:rRNA from 2 species
GGGUUGUGAGGUUAAGCGACUAAGCGUACACGGUGGAUGCCCUGGCAGUCAGAGGCGAUGAAGGACGUGCUAAUCUGCGAUAAGCGUCGGUAAGGUGAUAUGAACCGUUAUAACCGGCGAUUUCCGAAUGGGGAAACCCAGUGUGUUUCGACACACUAUCAUUAACUGAAUCCAUAGGUUAAUGAGGCGAACCGGGGGAACUGAAACAUCUAAGUACCCCGAGGAAAAGAAAUCAACCGAGAUUCCCCCAGUAGCGGCGAGCGAACGGGGAGGAGCCCAGAGCCUGAAUCAGUGUGUGUGUUAGUGGAAGCGUCUGGAAAGGCGCGCGAUACAGGGUGACAGCCCCGUACACAAAAAUGCACAUGCUGUGAGCUCGAUGAGUAGGGCGGGACACGUGGUAUCCUGUCUGAAUAUGGGGGGACCAUCCUCCAAGGCUAAAUACUCCUGACUGACCGAUAGUGAACCAGUACCGUGAGGGAAAGGCGAAAAGAACCCCGGCGAGGGGAGUGAAAAAGAACCUGAAACCGUGUACGUACAAGCAGUGGGAGCACAGAGCAAUCUGUGUGACUGCGUACCUUUUGUAUAAUGGGUCAGCGACUUAUAUUCUGUAGCAAGGUUAACCGAAUAGGGGAGCCGAAGGGAAACCGAGUCUUAACUGGGCGUUAAGUUGCAGGGUAUAGACCCGAAACCCGGUGAUCUAGCCAUGGGCAGGUUGAAGGUUGGGUAACACUAACUGGAGGACCGAACCGACUAAUGUUGAAAAAUUAGCGGAUGACUUGUGGCUGGGGGUGAAAGGCCAAUCAAACCGGGAGAUAGCUGGUUCUCCCCGAAAGCUAUUUAGGUAGCGCCUCGUGAAUUCAUCUCCGGGGGUAGAGCACUGUUUCGGCAAGGGGGUCAUCCCGACUUACCAACCCGAUGCAAACUGCGAAUACCGGAGAAUGUUAUCACGGGAGACACACGGCGGGUGCUAACGUCCGUCGUGAAGAGGGAAACAACCCAGACCGCCAGCUAAGGUCCCAAAGUCAUGGUUAAGUGGGAAACGAUGUGGGAAGGCCCAGACAGCCAGGAUGUUGGCUUAGAAGCAGCCAUCAUUUAAAGAAAGCGUAAUAGCUCACUGGUCGAGUCGGCCUGCGCGGAAGAUGUAACGGGGCUAAACCAUGCACCGAAGCUGCGGCAGCGACGCUGAUGCGUUGUUGGGUAGGGGAGCGUUCUGUAAGCCUGUGAAGGUGUGCUGUGAGGCAUGCUGGAGGUAUCAGAAGUGCGAAUGCUGACAUAAGUAACGAUAAAGCGGGUGAAAAGCCCGCUCGCCGGAAGACCAAGGGUUCCUGUCCAACGUUAAUCGGGGCAGGGUGAGUCGACCCCUAAGGCGAGGCCGAAAGGCGUAGUCGAUGGGAAACAGGUUAAUAUUCCUGUACUUGGUGUUACUGCGAAGGGGGACGGAGAAGGCUAUGUUGGCCGGGCGACGGUUGUCCCGGUUUAAGCGUGUAGGCUGGUUUUCCAGGCAAAUCCGGAAAACUAAGGCUGAGGCGUGAUGACGAGGCACUACGGUGCUGAAGCAACAAAUGCCCUGCUUCCAGGAAAAGCCUCUAAGCAUCAGGUAACAUCAAAUCGUACCCCAAACCGACACAGGUGGUCAGGUAGAGAAUACCAAGGCGCUUGAGAGAACUCGGGUGAAGGAACUAGGCAAAAUGGUGCCGUAACUUCGGGAGAAGGCACGCUGAUAUGUAGGUGAAGUCCCUCGCGGAUGGAGCUGAAAUCAGUCGAAGAUACCAGCUGGCUGCAACUGUUUAUUAAAAACACAGCACUGUGCAAACACGAAAGUGGACGUAUACGGUGUGACGCCUGCCCGGUGCCGGAAGGUUAAUUGAUGGGGUCAGCGCAAGCGAAGCUCUUGAUCGAAGCCCCGGUAAACGGCGGCCGUAACUAUAACGGUCCUAAGGUAGCGAAAUUCCUUGUCGGGUAAGUUCCGACCUGCACGAAUGGCGUAAUGAUGGCCAGGCUGUCUCCACCCGAGACUCAGUGAAAUUGAACUCGCUGUGAAGAUGCAGUGUACCCGCGGCAAGACGGAAAGACCCCGUGAACCUUUACUAUAGCUUGACACUGAACAUUGAGCCUUGAUGUGUAGGAUAGGUGGGAGGCUUUGAAGUGUGGACGCCAGUCUGCAUGGAGCCGACCUUGAAAUACCACCCUUUAAUGUUUGAUGUUCUAACGUUGACCCGUAAUCCGGGUUGCGGACAGUGUCUGGUGGGUAGUUUGACUGGGGCGGUCUCCUCCUAAAGAGUAACGGAGGAGCACGAAGGUUGGCUAAUCCUGGUCGGACAUCAGGAGGUUAGUGCAAUGGCAUAAGCCAGCUUGACUGCGAGCGUGACGGCGCGAGCAGGUGCGAAAGCAGGUCAUAGUGAUCCGGUGGUUCUGAAUGGAAGGGCCAUCGCUCAACGGAUAAAAGGUACUCCGGGGAUAACAGGCUGAUACCGCCCAAGAGUUCAUAUCGACGGCGGUGUUUGGCACCUCGAUGUCGGCUCAUCACAUCCUGGGGCUGAAGUAGGUCCCAAGGGUAUGGCUGUUCGCCAUUUAAAGUGGUACGCGAGCUGGGUUUAGAACGUCGUGAGACAGUUCGGUCCCUAUCUGCCGUGGGCGCUGGAGAACUGAGGGGGGCUGCUCCUAGUACGAGAGGACCGGAGUGGACGCAUCACUGGUGUUCGGGUUGUCAUGCCAAUGGCACUGCCCGGUAGCUAAAUGCGGAAGAGAUAAGUGCUGAAAGCAUCUAAGCACGAAACUUGCCCCGAGAUGAGUUCUCCCUGACUCCUUGAGAGUCCUGAAGGAACGUUGAAGACGACGACGUUGAUAGGCCGGAUGUGUAAGCGCAGCGAUGCGUUGAGCUAACCGGUACUAAUGAACCGUGAGGCUUAACCUUACAACGCCGAAGGUGUUU